rnacentral:rRNA from 1 species
UACGAGUGCUCCAAGCGUUAUCCGGAAUUAUUGGGCGUAAAGGGUGUGUAGGCGGUUUGGUUAGUCUUCUGUUAAAUUCUUCGGCUUAACCGGGGGUCUGCAGGGGAAACGGCCAAACUAGAGGAUGCGAGAGGUAUAUGGAACUCAUGGAGUAGGGGUGAAAUCCGUUGAUAUCAUGGGGAACACCAAAUGCGAAGGCAGUAUACUGGCGCACUCCUGACACUGAGACACGAAAGCGUGGGCAGCGAAUGGG